CUGAAAUUGAAGUGAGAGUCUGUUACCCCUCUGGAUUCUCCACAGUUCAGCCCCUGAGUUGCAGGAUGUGGAGGAUGGAGCCCAUGUCCAGAAGCUGACACAUCUCACUCUGCCCUGUUGGAAAGAAAUCCACAAAACACAGAAGAGGAACAGAUGGUCUGUGAGUUUCGUCCAUUCUCUGUAGCUUUCCAUCACUCUCUGCAGCAUCACACAGAAAGGAGUUUGCAUCAAACCCAGGUGGGUGUACUGCGAGGGGGAGGCAAGCUGUCCCCUGGCUUGAGCUGUAUGAUGCAACAGCUGUCUUCAGGGCCCCACUGGAGGGCUGCACCCACAGAGAUGAGGUCCUGGCUUUUUACUCCAGCUGACGAAAACAGCCCCCCUGAGGAAGGGGUUCAGAAGCACCAGAGUCUGCCGGCUGUCACAGUGGCCUUGUUUCUUCUCCUUUUGUUUUCUGGAGCAAUUGGGAGGGAAUUCUACCCCUGACAGCAGUUUCCUGGCUUGGAGGGGCUUGCUUUUGGGAUUCAAGAUUGGUCCAUUUUACAGCAGUUAAGUUAGUCUCUAGGCAAUGAUCUGACACUCCCAGGGCUGCAAUAACAACUUAUCACAAACAAGGUGGCUUUAAAGAGAAGAAAUAUAUACCCUCAUGGUUCGGGAGGCCCAAAGUCUAAAAGCAAGGUGUGAGCAGAGCUAUGCUUUCUGGAGGCUCUGGGGGAGAAACUUUCUUGGCUUCUUCCAGAUUUCUGGCAGCUUUCACACUCCUUUGUAUACAGCUGUGUGUCUCUCUGCUUCAUCUUGUCAUCGUCUCUGUAUCUUUGUUAUCUCCCUUGACCUCUGCCUUAUAAGAAUACCGUGAUGGUAUUUAGUUAUUAGGUAUUGAGUAUCUGAGGUAGCUCUAUCAUCUCAAGGACCUCAAUUAGUCACUGCUGCAAAGACAUUUGUCUCCAAAAGGAUAAUGUUUAUAAAUUCCAGAGCUGGCCUAUGGUUUGUAUGAGUGCUCCCCAAAGACCAUGUAUUAAACUUUUUGUCCCUAUGGUGAUGCUAUUGGGAAAUGGUAGAUUCCUUAGGAGGUGAGGCUCUGGGGCGAGGGGAGUCACGGGGGAACAUCACUUUUAGGGAGGUUGUAGGAUGCUGGUCACUUCUCAUCCUUUCUUUUGUUUCCUACUCAAAACUUGAGAAGUUUGAUCUGCACGUGCUCCUUGUCAUUGUUGUCUGACACCCCAAAAAGUUCAAAGCAAUGGGGAUUGGAACUUUCAAAACAGCUAAGUAAACCUUUUAAGUUUAAAAUUAAUUAUCUCAGAUGCUUUGUUGUAGUGAUGGAAAGCUGGUUAGUAUCAGAUCUUUGAAUAACCACGAUGCAGCUCACUAUGCUAGGUUUUCCUCACCACUGAGGAAACCCUAAUCUUAUUCUCCUUUUCUUUCCUUCUAGUGCUAGCCUUUUUCCUUUAGAGAGUCACACACACACCCUGAUAGUCUCUAGAAAGAGUAAAGUUGGGAUGGUUGGAGGAGCGUUUGAUUUGGAACCAGUAAAGUGAGUUUGGCAGGAUUCAUUGGAAUUAGUUCCUUCCUUCUCUGUCACUUUUCUCCUCUACACAAAGAUGGAGUGGUCAAAGUAAACCACCCUGUCUCAACCGUGCACUAUUGCAAUGGCUUCCAUUGAGCUUCCUGAUCUUCCUCUUACCAUUACAAACCAUGUCCUCAAUCUAAAUCAGGUCGUGGCAAUCCUUUGCUUCUAGCAUCUGCAAAAGAGAGACACAGAAUAAAGGGAGAUAGAGCAAAGGUCUUCCUAUGAUGUCCAUAUAUGCACUCCAAAAACUUGUGAAUAUGUUAUCUUACAUGGAAAAAUGGAUUUUUCAGAUAUGUUAAAGAUCUGAGAUGGGAGAUUAUCUUCAACUCUCUGGGUGAGCCCAAUACAAUCAAACCGAUGCAGGAGCAUCAUGGACAGAAAAGGAGCUGUAAUAAUAAAAUCAGAGGAUACAGUGAUGCUCUUUAAAGAUGAAAGGGGAUUGUGAGCCAAGGAAUGCAGGCAGCCUCAGGAAGGUGGACAAGACUAGGAAGCAGAGUCCCCUUGAGAGCCUAAGAAAGGAAGCAUCUCUAUAGAUGUGUUGGCUUUAGUUCAGAGAAUAAUUUUGGACCUCUUACUUUCAGAACACUAAAAUAAUACAUUUGUAUUCUCUUGAGUUACACAGUUUGUGAUGAAUUGUUAUGGCAACAAGAUACUAAUACAAUCUCUAAGGGAUUCUCACAGAAUUUAAAAAUGUGUUUACAUGAUCAGGUCCCAGCAGUGUCUUUGGUCUACAACUUCCACUACUUUGCUAGUGCUCAACUUUCUUCAGCCAAAUGGAUCUCCUUUCUAUUCUUUGAUAGGUGUACCAGUCAGUUUUCCUAUUGCAUGACACGAAAUUUGACAUUCACAACUUAGGAGAUGUUUAAUUUAGCUUAGGUUUUUAUGGGGAGGGUCCUUCAGUUCAUAGACAGCUGUCUCCAAAGAAGAAGCAUCAUGAUGGAAGACCAUGGUAGAGCAAAGCUAUUUAAUUCAUGGGCACAGAAUAGCAGGCAGAACAACCUCAAAGAGAAACAGGCAGGGAAUAUAUAUAGCUCCCAAGACCAUACCUCCAUGACUCACUCAGACAUACUCUGGAGUGUGCUUUAAUAAUCUGCUAGAGAUUUCUUAAUCCAGUGAGUUGAGGUAUCAGAAUUAAUGAUCACAUCUUGUUAAGCAUAAAGUGCUGUGGUGGAUUAACUAAUGAUCAACUUUAACACCCAGCUGAACUGAAUCAGCAUGGUUCUGGAUGUGGAAGGCCCACCUUUAGGAUUGUUGCCAAUAACAUAAAAAGAGAAUUGGCAGAGAAGAUAGUGUGUUGUUGAUUCUCCUGGAGAAGCUUGUCAUGCUGGUUUUCCUCAUAUGAACUCAGCUGUUCUUAUCAUCAGAGAAGUUUUGUCUUCGCUGUCACUGAGGAUGGCUGAAGUCCUCUUUAGGGGAGCCUUGUUCCUUACCUUGUAUCUUACCUCUAGCUUCAGUGAAGAUCCUUCAGCCUUCUGGCUCAGAUCCUUCACCCCUGUGGCACAGACUUUCUAUCUUUCAUCCCUGACCUUUGGGCAUUCCCGGUGCAGAUCCUUGAUACAGACUAGCACGAGUCAUUGGCAUGACCUGUAGGCCUCCAACUGGGCUCCUGGAGGACAUUGCAAUGGGCUAUAGGUCUUCAGAUGGACUCAUGCAGGACAUUGCCACAGAAUCCAGGCCCUCAACUGGAUUCUUUGGGUCCCUAGUGCGUGGACAGAUCUCUUGCACCAUUCUACAUAUGACUUUGUGGGUGAAUAUUAUAAAAUAAUUUGAUAAAUUAUGUUUCCUGUAUUAAAUUUUUUCCUUGAAAACCCUGACUACAACAGGUACUGUUCUUGUAGUUUCCUUGUUCUGGAAAACUUCACUCUAACUCUUUAUCAUGAACUUAAACUACCACUCUGUCAGAAUUCUUCUUUGACUGUUUGGCUUAAAGAACCAACAACUCAAUUGUUCCCAUCCUUUCUCAUGUUAGCCCAUUACUCAUUUCGUCUGUAUCAUUCCACAGAUUGCUAUCCAUGACCAUAUUAUUCACUAUAUUUAAUAUGCAUCCCUUCUAGAACAUCAGCUGCAUAAAAAAAUGGGCCCAUGCUUUUUCCACAUCUGGAACAAUUUGGUUCUAAAGGAAGAGUUGUUGAAUGAAUGAAUGAACAAAAUACUUUUUAUGUCUAAUGAUUUCCUGUUGUGGUCAUGGGUUGACGGACAGAGUUCCAGCUCUUCUAAUAUAAUAACAGUAAGAAAAUUAUCCUAAAUCCCAGUUUGAGCCCUGAGAACAUAGAGGAUAAGACUUGAAAGUGCUUUUUUUCCUUUUUCUUCUCUUCAAUAAAAGUUUCCUUUACCUUAACAUCAUUUUCAAAUAUUUCUCUUUGUUCACCCGUUUUCCCUGAGCUGUGUGCACUUACAAUUAGGACAGUUUCCUGAGUAUAAGUAUCUUCAGAAACUCCUGAGCCCAAGUUCGCUUUUGACUUUUUGCUGCUUCACUAAAGAAACCAAUGUUGCUCAUGUUUUGAAGGUUCAUGGCACUCCUCUGUCUUUAAACUGUGUAGUCUUAAUGAAAUACCAAUUUUUGUCUUCUACAUGAUGGGCCCAAAUCCUUUGGCCCAGAACCUCUUUCUCAUUUGGGAUGUGUCUGUCUGCACAUAUACAUCAACUUGGAAACUCUCCCUGAGGGGAUGAUGAUAGUUUUCCGUUCCCAUUUCCACUUCCCCUCUAGGAGGAGGGUUGAAAUACUUGGUCUAGACUGAGCACAUCCAUUGGAUGAGGUGCUAAGAUACCUCUCUCCCCUACUCCAGGCCAUAUCUACUCUGGACAUGGCUCCUAGUCAUUGUUACCUUGCCUAUUUAUGCUCUCAGAUAAUUCCUGCCCUUGGAGUAUGGGAUGGAUCCAGUAAGUUUGUUUGUAGGGAACAACAUACAGCAUAAAUGAUAUAAUGUCACCUCUGUAUUAAGUUUUGGAAGAACUGAACUUCCAUUUUACUGGUAUUCACAUUUGUAUUGUCUUCAUAGCUUGAUUACUUCAAUUAUGCAAGCUUUGGUAUGAUUAAAAUGUUUAUAUAUUGGAAAUUUAAUCCCUAAAUUCAUGUGCUAAUGGCAUUUGGAGGAAGAGCACUUAGGAACUAACUAUGAGAUGAGAUCAUGAAAGUACAGUACUAACGAAGGCAUUACUGGAUUUUAAGAGGAAGAGACACCCAAGCCAGCACGCCUGCUCUGUCUCACCAUGUAAUGCCUUUUACCAUGUUAUGCAGCAACAAGAUCCUCUCCAGAUACUUAGCAAACGCUGACACCAUCCUCUCAGAUGUCCCAACCUCCAGCACUAUAGGGUAAAUAAACCUUAGUUCUUCAAAAAUUAUCCAGACUUGGGUAUUUCGUUUUAGUAAUGGAAAGCAGACAAAGACAGUGCACUCAGAUAAAGGCCUACAUGGCAAAGGAUAUGGCAAGCUUCUGUUAAGUACCAGUAAGGAACGGAGGCCCUCAAUUCAAUAGCUGACACUGAACCAAAACGUGGCAAUGAUUAUGUAAACAACAAAAAAGUAGAUUCUUCCCAAGUUGAACCUUCAGAUGAAACCACAGGCCCAGCCAACCCUUUGUUGCUUACAAGAAACUUAAACAGAGGGCCCUGCUAAGAUCUUCCCAGAGUCUGGACACAUUAAAACUGAAAAAUAAAAUGUGUGGUGUUUUUAACUGCAAAGUUUUAGGGUAGUACGUUAACAGCCACAUAUAACUAAGGAAAUCCAUGUGAUUCCUGGAAUUUCUCUAUGGAAUCUGAUCCACUGUAAGGUUAGGAUUCUGUAUCAGGAUAAGCAGCCAACUCAUAAAUCUUUCAUUUGCCAAGCACUGUCCUUUACUCAUUUGUUCCCCUCUUAGACUUUGUAGAGAGGAGUGACUGGUUGAAAACAGAACCGAAUUUUAUUACAUUUCUUAUCCAAAUAUCAUUUUAAUCUCACCAUCACCUAUGACCUAAUUUGAACAGGCCCUAUGUCAGAGAGGCUAACAUUUAUGAGACAAAAUUCUGUAGUGGAAGCCAUGUGGCUCGCUCUAUGGGAAAAACAUUUAGAAUUCAAUCUUUUGUUUUUGAAAAUCAGAAUUCACUUUUGGAGCCAGUAUUGCUUUCUAGGAAGUGAUGAGCAGCAGAAUCACAUGUGGGUCAAAGCAAUGUCUCAUAUCAAACCAAGAAAAGAUACAGUAUCUCAGAUAUUUGGCUUUCAGACUUUUAGAGUCAUAUAUUGAUAAAUGGUAUUGAACUGAUUUCCCUGACUUGAUUCCCAUUUAUCUAUCUUUGCAUUUUUUUCCUGAUUUCACCAGUAUCUCAGCUUGCAUGUGAGAUUAGAAAAUAAGAAAUACAUUUAGAAUAUUUAAGCAGUAUGUCAUCACAGGUGCAAAGAUGAUGAUCAGUCUCAGAUUGGCUCUGGUUUUCCAGUUGACAAGCCUAAAAUCUGGUAUUGUGUCUUUGUCUGUUGAGACUGAAGAGUCUGACCACAGGAAAGCCCAGGAUAUUUCUAGCAAUUUCUUUCCCAUCUGUCUAUUUCUUUCAUGCUUUCUAUGUUCAUCAGUGAUUCCACUGACAGACUGUAUGGUACACACAAAAUUGGUUACUGAUUUCCUCAUCCCUGUGUCUGUUCACUUUUGUAAUGUCUUCUGCCCAGAGGUAGAGCUACUUCUUCAUUCGUUGAACUUGGCAUAUGUAAAAGAAGCAAACACAAUAUAAACAAAGAGCAAACACAACAUAAAGAGCCUGUACAUUUAACUUCUCUCCUCCUUGGAGUCACUAAAAUCACUGUAGGAAGGAGCUGAUCCCGUCUUUCUGAAACAUCAGAGAGUAUAUGGGACAAAAACUGGAAUCCUACUAAGCUUUUCCUAGACCAGUGGUGGCAAACCUAUGGCACAUGCCAGAGUAUUGAAAGCUCUAAGAGGUUCACUAUCACUGCUCUAAACCAAUCAUUCUGUCAAAGACGAUACAUAUGUAAGAAGCCCCCUGGAGCUGACUUUCUCACUGCCUGAAGACACACAGGAAAGUCCAUUAAAGGUAAGCUGGGGUGACCAGACCAAAAAAUUAUCACUGCAAACCAAAUAAGUAGUUGGUUUAAAAACACACUAGGUUUUGAGGUGGUUUGUUGUUUAGUGUUAGGUAACUGUUGCAGAUUUAUAUCAUGCGCAUGUUUUUAUCAAUUCAUCUCCUUGGUAUGUUUUGAGUCCUAGAAAGCUAAGAUCUGUAACUUCAUAGAAAGUGAAACUUAGGCCCUUGCCUUUGGCAGUGAGUUUGGCUAUGAGCAAAUGGAAAUCUCCACAAACCAAUGCUAUGUCAGCUGAGUUGGCUCCUUAACUGCUUCAGACUGGCUCAUUCUACAUAUCACUAGCCUCAGAACACUUUAGGAGGCCCUCAAAAUUCCCAUCUAUAAUAGAGAACCCACCAUUGUGAGUUGCUUUCUAAGUUUAUAUCCACUUUGUCCCAACAUUCUAGUUAGAAUGGAAAAGAACAGCAACAAUGUGCAAUGUCACUUCUGAGAUUAACUUAUGCGAUUACUGUGACUUUCAAAUUGGGCACUGUGGCUGAAAUCAAUUGCCCUAGAGGAAGCCAGCCACCAUGUCCAGAUGUUGCCUUAUGGAGAGGUUUGUGUGGUGAGGAACUGAAUUUGUCAACAAUUAUGUGAAGAAACUUGGAAGGGGAAUUCCAGAAUCCCGAUCUGACUCUGCAUAAAUUCAUGACAACAUCAGCUAACAGCCUCUGACUUCAUGAGAGAUUACAAGCUGGCUAAGUCAUGUUUAGAUUUCUGACACACAGCCAUUGAGAAGUGUUAACUACUAUGUAUUUUAAAGUUUUGGCACCCUCUGAAGCCUUAUAAUGUCUGCAUUCAUUAGUUGGAAUGGUUUUAUCCUAGUUUGUUUGAUUUUAGUAUCUGUGAUAAACAGCUAUUUUAAAGAAAACAAGACAGAAUAGCCAGAGCUGAUUUAGUAUUAUCUUACUCUGGCAGCCUACUAUGCUUUUGUUUUUGUUUCCUUUGGUUCUAUCCUGUUAUAUCUUAUUGGAUAUUGUUAUGUGUGAUAGUAUAAACAAAUUUUCUAUGGAAAAUGAGGUAAUAUAGUAGCCACUGUUGAUUCUCUGCUAUUUGGUUCUGAAAGCCCUGUAAUGCUUUCAUUCUCUUGAAUGGUUUUAUAUUGUUUUGUUAUGUUUGACACUAUCAUACAUGAAGCUAUGCUCAACUAUUUCAAAGAAAGAGAUAUUAUGAUAGUUACUAUUAAUUAUGGGUUGUCUUGUAGUAAAAUGCUGUGUUACUUGCAUUGUUCUGAUCUGAUCUGCUUUGUUAUGUUCUCUUUUGUCUUAAUCUGUUUAAAAUUUAAAAAAUUUAAAAAAGUUUUGGCAUAUCAGUUUUAACAUACUGAUAGAUAACUAAUGCAAUUUAGGCUCACCCAAUCAAAGCAACUCCCCCGCCACCCUACUCUACCCAGACAUAAUGAUAAGUUCAGUAACACACAAGGGCUAGGGUUGGGGCUUUUAUGGGAGCUCCCAUUCUUUUUCAAGGAUGAUUCUAAAACGAUGAGGCUGGGACUUCUGCAGCCACUUUGUCCUCAUUAGAAGAAAACCUUUGAUUAUCUUGUUGGUCUCUACAACUUAGCACUCAGAACUAUGAGUAGGUGCACAAUAUUUAUUAAAUGAAAGAUAGAUUUGCACCUACCAGAUGGAAAAGACAAGAGGAACUACCAUGGAAUGGUAAACUCUUCACUAAUACCAUCUGAAAUGUAACAUGUCAUCAAACAUCUACAUAAAUCAAUGUAUUUUUGUUUUCUAAAUAUGACGCAUGGAACAUAGAGUUUUUCCUGUAAGUUAGCUUCUGCCAAUUUUAACUGGCAGAGUUCUAAAAUUCACCAAAGAUGAGUUUACUAGGAAGGAUCAAUGGAUUCACCAUAUCUGUCCAAUUGCUGCAUAUACUGGGAAUGCUCCAAGAAAGGAGAUGAAUAAACUCUGUAGAGUCAUACCA